UUCCUCUUCAAUCCGCAGAAGCUGCAACCAAAUUAAUACCCAAAAAAGAAGUUACAAACACAACAAACAAAAGUUUACAGAGAUUUGAAAUUAUUAACAAACAAGAUUAAAGUACUAAAAAAUGUUUAAGAGAAGCACACCACUCUCUGGGAGAUUGGUUCAAGUCCGUUGGCCGUCAAUUAAGAUAAACAAUUAGCCUUGUUACUCAUGAUCCCAGAAAGGUCUUUUAUAUAGUAUGUUCUCAAAAUUAUAACCUCAGUCAAUUAUUUCUCAUAUCAACACCUUAGUCUCAACAUUAUCUCUAGCUACUUGUUCAGCCCCCUUAGCCUACAAUGUAAACUGGAAUGCCUUUGGAAUAAUGGAGAAUGCUACUUAUUCAGUAAGUUGUUACAGUCUACCUGAUUAUACUUGGCCAAUCGCUC
rnacentral:misc_RNA from 1 species